UGUCCCGAGGGCUCGCCUCCCUGGAACAGGGAAGCGAAGUACCGGCAGUGGUUUUGACGACCCUCAACCCUCCCCGAUUCCGUCCCAACCUUCGACCGCCGCCACCUGGGUACCUCGGGCAAGAAGAACAGAAAAGCCAGAGGAAGACACCUGCCGGCGGCUGCAGGGCCUCAGCCCUACUUUGCCGGGACAGCCAAGGUUCUCCAGAGAACCCCACCCCCACCCCCGCGGGGGCAGAACAGGGCCCUCGCGACUCGUCCGCCCAGGGCUAAGUUACCCGGGCAGCUGGGACGAACAAGCAGCCUGGCUCUCCUGCAACAGAAAUUUGGAUUGUUUCACCAUUUUAUAUUUUUAUCAGCAGUGGCACUUCCUAUUUCCUGGAAUCUGAGAAACCUGGGUGGAAAGCCUGUUGUAGAAUGUUCUCCUAUUCUCCCUCAUCAGAACACCUCUGCCUACUUGCAAGCAAGCCUCCAGCUGCAACUCACUGAGUGGAUUCGCUCACAGAAGAAGGGGUAGACUCACCCGAGAUUGCAGGUACUCCCGUUUGCACCUGCUG